rnacentral:lncRNA from 1 species
UACUACUUCUACCUCGCUGCAGAAUAAAAGAUGUUUGUCAGCAGUCGAAUAGUCUUUCUGAAAAAAGAGUUUCUUGGUGAAGGAUCUAAUACCUGUAAAAUUGAACUUGAUGAAGUUCAUAAGGUGCAAGGACCGACACAUACAAAAUUGGAUUUGAUUGGUGAAUCAAAUUCGGAGUCAGUAAAGACAUCAUUGAGGAGAUCCAAUAGAAUACCGCAUC